rnacentral:rRNA from 1 species
GAGUUUGAUCCUGGCUCAGGAUGAACGCUGGCGGCGUGCUUAACACAUGCAAGUCGAACGGUGAACGAGGGAGCUUGCUCCCUCCGGAUCAGUGGCGAACGGGUGAGUAACACGUGAGUAACCUGCCCUUGACUCUGGGAUAAGCGUUGGAAACGACGUCUAAUACCGGAUACGACCCUCGGAGGCAUCUCCAGGGGGUGGAAAGAACUUCGGUCAAGGAUGGACUCGCGGCCUAUCAGCUAGUUGGUGAGGUAACGGCCCACCAAGGCGACGACGGGUAGCCGGCCUGAGAGGGUGACCGGCCACACUGGGACUGAGACACGGCCCAGACUCCUACGGGAGGCAGCAGUGGGGAAUAUUGCACAAUGGGCGCAAGCCUGAUGCAGCAACGCCGCGUGAGGGACGACGGCCUCGGUUGUAA